rnacentral:rRNA from 1 species
GUGCUCGAAAGAGAGCCAUAACACAGGUGCUGCAUGGCUGUCGUCAGCUCGUGUCGUGAGAUGUUGGGUUAAGUCCCGCAACGAGCGCAACCCUUGCCAUUAGUUGCUACGAAAGGGCACUCUAAUGGGACUGCCGGUGAUAAACCGGAGGAAGGUGGGGAUGACGUCAAGUCCUCAUGGCCCUUAUAGGUGGGGCUACACACGUCAUACAAUGGCUGGUACAAAGGGUUGCCAACCCGCGAGGGGGAGCUAAUCCCAUAAAACCAGUCGUAGUCCGGAUCGCAGUCUGCAACUCGACUGCGUGAAGUCGGAAUCGCUAGUAAUCGUGGAUCAGAAUGUCACGGUGAAUACGUUCCCGGGUCUUGUACACACCGCCCGUCACACCAUGGGAGCGGGUUCUGCCAGAAGUAGUUAGCCUAACCGCAAGGAGGGCGAUUACCACGGCAGGGUUCGUGACUGGGGUGAAGUCGUAACAAGGUAACCCAACCGGAAGAUGAGG